rnacentral:rRNA from 1 species
AGUACGUGGACGUAGACCCGAAACCGGGUGAUCUACCCCUGUCCAGGGUGAAGGUGCGGUAACACGCACUGGAGGCCCGAACCCACGCAUGUUGAAAAAUGCGGGGAUGAGGUGGGGGUAGCGGAGAAAUUCCAAUCGAACUCGGAGAUAGCUGGUUCUCCCCGAAAUAGCUUUAGGGCUAGCCUCGGAAAACAGAGUCGUGGAGGUAGAGCACUGAUUGGGUGCGGGGCCCGCAAGGGUUACCAAGCUCAGUCAAACUCCGAAUGCCAUAGACUUACUUCCGGGAGUCAGACAGUGAGUGCUAAGAUCCAUUGUCAAAAGGGAAACAGCCCAGACCAUCAGCUAAGGUCCCCAAGUGUGUGUUAAGUGGGAAAGGAUGUGGAGUUGCACAGACAACCAGGAUGUUGGCUUAGAAGCAGCCACCAUUGAAAGAGUGCGUAAUAGCUCACUGGUCGAGUGACUCUGCGCCGAAAAUGUAACGGGGCUAAACACACCACCGAAGCUAUGGCUUGAUGCUUUGCAUCAGGGGUAGGGGAGCGUUGUAUAAGGGUUGAAGGUGUACCGUAAGGAGCGCUGGACAUUAUACAAGUGAGAAUGCCGGUAUGAGUAACGAAAAGAUCAGUGAGAAUCUGAUCCGCCGAAAGCCUAAGGGUUCCUGAGGAAGGCUCGUCCGCUCAGGGUAAGUCGGGACCUAAGGCGAGGCCGAAAGGCGUAGUCGAAGGACAACAGGUCGAAAUUCCUGUACCACCGUAAGCCGUUAUGAGCAAUGGGGGGACGCAGUAGGGUAGUGACGCGGACUGAUGGAUGUCCGUCUAAGCAGUGAGGCUGAUGUGUAGGCAAAUCCGCACAUUGUAAGGCUGAGCUGUGAUGGGGAGCGAAAAUUAUAGUAGCGAAGGUCAUGAUCUCACACUGCCAAGAAAAGCCUCUAGCCAGGUGAAGGUGCCCGUACCGCAAACCGACACAGGUAGGCGAGAAGAGUAUUCUAAGGCGCGCGGAAGAACUCUCGUUAAGGAACUCGGCAAAAUGACCCCGUAACUUCGGGAGAAGGGGUGCCCCGGUAGUGUGAAUAGCACGAGGGGGCCGCAGUGAAAAGGCCCAAGCGACUGUUUAGCAAAAACACAGGUCUGUGCGAAGCCGUAAGGCGAAGUAUACGGGCUGACGCCUGCCCGGUGCUGGAAGGUUAAGGGGAGUGGUUAGGGAGUAAUCCCGAAGCUGUGAACCGAAGCCCCAGUAAACGGCGGCCGUAACUAUAACGGUCCUAAGGUAGCGAAAUUCCUUGUCAGGUAAAUUCUGACCCGCACGAAUGGCGUAACGACUUGGGCGCUGUCUCAACGAGAGAUCCGGUGAAAUUUUAAUACCUGUGAAGAUGCAGGUUACCCGCGACAAGACGGAAAGACCCCAUGGAGCUUUACUGCAGCUUGAUAUUGAAUUUGGGUACGAUCUGUACAGGAUAGGUGGGAGCCUUUGAAGUGGGAGCGCAAGCUUCCAUGGAGGCAACGUUGGGAUACCACCCUGAUCGUAUCUAGGUUCUAACCUGGUACCGUAAUCCGGUGCGGGGACAGUGUCAGGUGGGCAGUUUGACUGGGGCGGUCGCCUCCUAAAGAGUAACGGAGGC